UACGUAGGGUGCAAGCGUUAAUCGGAAUUACUGGGCGUAAAGCGUGCGCAGGCGGUUCGUUGUGUCGGCGGUGAAAGCCCCGGGCUUAACCUGGGAAUGGCCGUUGAAACUGGCGAACUGGAGUGUGGCAGAGGGGGGUGGAAUUCCGCGUGUAGCAGUGAAAUGCGUAGAGAUGCGGAGGAACACCGAUGGCGAAGGCAGCCCCCUGGGCUAGCGCUGACGCUCAGGCACGAAAGCGUGGGGAGCAAACAGG
rnacentral:rRNA from 1 species